GCAAGUCGAACGAGAACGGAUUAAAGCUUGCUUUAAUUGUCAGCUAAGUGGCGCACGGGUGAGUAAUAUAUAGGUAACGUGCCUUCAAGAAGGGGAUAACGUUUGGAAACGAACGCUAAUACCCUAUAUGCCUUUAAUACAUAAGUAUGCAAGGGAAAUAUUUAUAGCUCUAGGAUCGGCCUGUACGGUAUCAGUUUGUUGGUGAGGUAAUGGCUCACCAAGACUAUGACGCCUAACUGGUUUGAGAGGAUGAUC
rnacentral:rRNA from 1 species